rnacentral:rRNA from 1 species
GAUGAACGCUGGCGGCGUGCCUAAUACAUGCAAGUCGAGCGAAGCGGGGGCGGGUGCGUAAGCCGUGGAAAACCUCCUUUAAGACUGGGAUAACUUCGGGAAACAGUAGGUAAAGCGGAUACUCAGAGGUGGAUGCUGGCUGGAUUCGCUAGUUGGUAAGGGAACGGCUUAGAAAGGCAACGAUGCAUAGCCGACCUGAGAGGGUGAUCGGACACACUGGAACUGAGACACGGUCCAGACUCCUACGGGAGGCAGCAGUAGGGAAUCUUCCGCAAUGGGCGAAAGCCUGACCGAGCAACGCCGCGUGAGUGAUGAAGGUCUUCGGAUCGUAAAACUCUGUUAUUAGGGAAGCGGUACCUAAUCAGAAAGCCACGGCUAACUACGUGCCAGCAGCCGCGGUAAUUC